rnacentral:rRNA from 1 species
GACGAACGCUAGCGGCAGGCCUAACACAUGCAAGUCGAGGGGUAGCAGGAUUAAGCUUGCUUAAUUGCUGACGACCGGCGCACGGGUGCGUAACGCGUAUGCAACCUACCUUAUACUGGGGUAUAGCCCGGAGAAAUUCGGAUUAAUCCCCCAUAGUACUAAUGAAUCGCAUGGUUUAUUAGUUAAAGCAUUGCGGUAUAAGAUGGGCAUGCGUCCUAUUAGCUAGAUGGUGAGGUAACGGCUCACCAUGGCUACGAUAGGUAGGGGGCCUGAGAGGGUGGUCCCCCACACGGGUACUGGGACACGGACCAGACUCCUACGGGAGGCAGCAGUGAGGAAUAUUGGUCAAUGGGCGCAAGCCUGAACCAGCCAUGCCGCGUGCAGGAAGAAUGCCCUAUGGGUUGUAAACUGCUUUUAUUUGGGAAUAAACCUCUUUACGUGUAGAGAGCUGAAGGUACCAAAUGAAUAAGCACCGGCUAACUCCGUGCCAGCAGCCGCCGUAA